AGGAAAUCCCCCCUCCAUUAUGGAUCCGUGCACCACCAUCAACCCGGUUUAAUUCCGGCGAAUUUCGCCAUUUUUUUCGUUGAAUCACCACCAUCCAACACCUCCAAAACACUCAGUGAUUUCCCAUCUUCCAUCUCCACCCAAAUUUGAGGGUAUUUAAGUCCAAAAUCGUGUAAAACCGUGCGGGUGACCCAUGGAGAUUUGACGGCGAUUCCGCCAUUCCGGCUAGUUUCACCACCCACCACCAGAAUCAACUACCCUUGGACCCAGGAACAAGACCCAAUCAGUUGUAGGGGUGUUGGAACAUCGAGGAAGUCGAAUCGAAGAACACCCAUCUAAGGGUUUCCGGCAGGUUUGAGCGAAUUUGGGGUUUUUCCCGACCAAAUCGAAGAACACCCAUCUUUCAGUAGUUUUAAAUUUUGCGUUUGAAUAUAAUUGUCCUACGAGUGAUAGAGUUUUGGACGUCCAUCAUUUGUUGCUUUUAAAUAAUCCGCAGACUUCUGUCUAUUUGACUUUUGCAGUGUGUAAGAUUAUUUUUUAUUUUUUUAUUUUUUUUUGAACAAUUGGAUGUUUGUGUGCAGAUCAUGUGUUUUAUCAUUAUCCUAUAGCCUUAUAUGUGUAGCUGAGAUUGUGUAGGGAAGGAAAUUGUAUUGUUCAUGUAUGCAGGAAGAAAUUGUAUUGUUCAUGUAGUCUGGUUUUUAUUGUUGUCCGUUUUAUGGUGGGGGACAACUUAACCGAAGAGAUUGCAUUUUGUUGAGGAGAUUAGGUAGGCAAUUAAAGCAUUCCUUCUUAUGCACCAUAAUGGUGAUGAAAUAAAGAUCCAAAUUUGGUUGAAGAAUUGAGGAGGGGGGGAGUGGGCAUGGGAAGAACUUAUCCUGUGUGUAAAUUUAGGCCACAUUUUUUGAAGAUAAUUUUAUAUUACUGUAUGCUCAGAAUAUUUUAAAAGGCAUUUG
rnacentral:sRNA from 1 species